rnacentral:rRNA from 1 species
UACAGAGGGUGCAAGCGUUAAUCGGAAUUACUGGGCGUAAAGGGCUCGUAGGCGGCCAACUAGUCGGACGUGAAAUCCCUCGGCUUAACCGGGGAACUGCGUCCGAUACUGGAUGGCUUGAGUUCGGGAGAGGGAUGCGGAAUUCCAGGUGUAGCGGUGAAAUGCGUAGAUAUCUGGAGGAACACCGGUGGCGAAGGCGGUUCUCUGGGCCUUACCUGACGCUGAGGAGCGAAAGCGUGGGGAGCGAACAGG